rnacentral:tRNA from 1 species
GCUCAGUUGGUAAAGCACAAGGCUCUUAACCUUAUGGUCGUGGGUUCGAGCCCCAC